CAUCCAUUCUUUUCAAAGUUGACUUAGAACAUUCUUAAAACGGGACAAUAUAUUUUACAAAUGGUAUAGCAGAUAACAAUGUUCGUUUGUUUUGCUCAAUUAUAUUUUUACUGUCUUCUUGGUUCUGGAGGGCACCAAGGGAUUAAAAUAGUGGUGUGUUGUUUUUCUCCUGCUAGAAUGUAUGAUGAAUCACUCUCGGCGCUGAAGCCAAAUUCUUGCUGAUAGCAUUGCUGCCAGCGUCUGGGCUGAGUUGCCUUAGUUUGGGCAUUGCUGUGUCUGAGAAUGUACGCAAAGCACACUGUCACGAAGGUGAUACCAGAGUUCCAAAGUGCACUUAAGGAUACCGCAGGGCAGGUCUAAGAGUUGGAAAAAGACCUGGCCUAGGAGUAUGGCUGUCUGUAGGCAGACAGCCUACAACGUUCAGUGUGCACCAGGAGGGGUAUCCCAGCUCUUUCCCUUCUAAGCAGGCAGGCAUGUGCAUGACCUCAGUGAAACAACUAAUAGAAAAAUUGUUUUUGCAAAUAGACCUGAGUUUUUGGACCAUACCUCGGAACACUGUGGUCCGUGAUGUGUAUUUAUCACUCAUCGUUCAGGUGUUCUUAAAUGUUUGCAGGGCAAUGAAUGAGACCAUGAAAUAGCUAAAGAAUGGGGAAAAAAAUAUCACAGGGUGCCACAUCUUUAAAAGAAAAAUUUUGUAGCUAUUAUUUUGUAAACCCAAAAUAAGAUUAGAAUACUGAAUGCAUGCUGUCUGGCAAGAAGGAGGAGCUGUUACCUUUGUGAAUUACUGGGUGUCAUCGCCGCCAAGAGGGAACUAGAGGUAACCAUAUCCGUGACACCCAUCACUUGACCACGGUGUCUUCUAAGAACUGGGGGAGACCAGAGAAUGGAAGUUGUUCAUAUAACUGUUGUCCUUGUCACAGCCCGUUGUGUUAGAACUUUCCAGAAGAAAGCAUCUCUUGCCCUUCCCUCCCAGAAAACAUGGGCCGCAGUCCUGAAGGGAGCAUGCAUUGGAUGAGGACCAACCUGUGGAGGGGCAAAAAGACAGGCGAUUUCGGUGUCCCCAUGGCAGGGCACCUUCCUCCCGAUUUGCCCCAGGCUUUUCUAGUGUUGCUCAGUGCCCUCAAGCCUUAUGCCUACUGUUUUUCCCCUGCCACAAGCAGGAGCAGGUUCCGAGCUUCCUGAGGCAAAGCCAGUGAUAUUUUGGGGGCCGGGUAGAAGAGUGCGGGACGCUCGGGAGAAGAGGAGAAGCUGUCCCGAACUGUGCCCCCUCUUCCGAAACACACAUCGCACUGUUCUACCGGGGAUGGUCUGCCACUCUUUCGCUAGGAUUCAAACGUGUUAUGGGUAGGAACCUGGGUAGUUAACUUGCUAUCAAUUGUAGUUAUUUUUUUAAAAAUGUCUGCCGUGCCAUAUGUUGAUGCAAAUUAUUCACUUUGUCUUUUUAUUUUUCAUGCAACCACUGUGUCUUUCAUCGAUUUUAAAGUGAAAAUGUGUUGUUUUUUUCCUUCCAGCUUUCAUUCUUUUUAUACGACUGUCAAAUAAAAAAGUGAGCUUUAGUUAUUUGUGGUCCAGCUCUAUGGCCACUUUGUUUCCCUUGCCCUCACUUCUCUUCCCCUUCACCCCACUGCCCUUCCCCUUGGCCCCCAGGGGUCUGCCUUGGCAUCUGCAGGCCUCAUCUGUAUUAACUGUGCGAGGCUUGUAACAUUUUUCUUCCUAUUAGGAGGGUCCACUUUUACUGCCUGGUGGAAAGCGGAACCUUCUGACCUGCCUGAGAAAGGAAAACAGAGGUGGUGAAAGGCCAGGCUCUUUACAGGCAAGGGGCUGCUUGCAAAGAACGUCUCCCUGUUUGUUUUCCUCCCCUAAAGAAAUUCUCCAAGGUGCCAAGUGAUGGGCACAGCUUGAUGGAACUUGAAAUACUAGUUGAGUUUUUCAGUGAACUCAGAACAGGAAGCAAAACAAACUCAGCCUGUGCUCAGCUACGGGUUAAAAUAACCAAUAGUGAAAUAAAGUAAAUUGGGUGAGUGAGAUGUGCUCCCCGAUAAGUGAUUUAAAAUGCUCUCCUGGCCUUUGCUGGCCUCUGUGCCUCCUGCUUCAUGUCAUUCCCACUCACCACAUCGCUGCACUGCCAUUCUGUGCUGUGUUUUUACCCUUUCUGAAGAUGCGUCCUCUUCUCUUACACAUCUCCUCAUAAUCUCCUGUGACAUUUAUUUCCAUUUUAUUUUAGCUUCGUGUUCUAGCUUGUGUUCGUUGCUGUAACUGAAUUCUUUGUUUUUUUUUUUUUUUUUUUGUCUUUUUCUUUUUUACCGGUACCGGGGAUCAAACUCACAACUGCCUGCUUUCAAGGCAGACGCUUAUGCCGCUGAGCUAAACCCCCAGCCCCUUGUAACUGAAUUCUUUCAUGCUGUUUUUUAUUUUCUUCAUUUAAAACAACAGACUUGCCGCCUCUCUGCUUCUGUCUUGGGACAUUUUCUCCUCCUGUUCUGAUACUCUUCAUUUUUCAUCAUUUCAAGCUCCUUUUAUUUAGCUGAAUAAUUUUUGCAAUAGAAAUGCAAGAAGAACAUGUAUGACAGCACAAAGGGCAAUUGUGAGUGGACCGGCCACUCUGCCAGGGGCAUGUGAAAAGUGGCUACCGCAGCAGCGCAUUGUAUACAUCUUUUUAAAAAUAAUCGUUUACAGAAUGCCUGUAGACUUUGGAUGAAGAAUGAAUCUUUUUUCCUGUUUUUUACUUUUAAGUUAUUCAAAGAUAAAUGCAAGUUAUGCAUCACAAUCAGAAAUUAAGGGCUAUUUUUCAUAAGUACAUGCAAGUAAAAUUUAUCAACGUUGUAAGAAUUAGAAUAUAACAAAGGCUGUAAAAUAGUGCUUCCCUUAAGGGAGAUGUGUGAGUAGGUUAUAAUUGAUUCCUUUAAAGGAAAAAGAUUCCAUUUUGUUAAAAACCCCUCCUGGUUUUUGUGUACCUGAUGAUAAUACACUGGGAAUAAUUUUGCAGUGCUAGUUUUGGUCAUCACUGAACGCACACAGUGGUAUCAGAGAUAAUCCCUUGGCUUACUCUUCAAACCCUGGAAAUUCACCAGUAUUAUGUCCAUGCCCAGUGUGUGCCCGAGAGUGUCCAGGCAAGACUGACCUCUGGUAACGAUGGUCUAACUCAGCCUUGGUGCGGGCAGUUUCUAACAACAGUACCUUUUAAGGUUACCUUAACUAUUUUCUGCCAGGCCUGGGAUCCAAUAAAGUUAUUUAGAAUGUAUUGGCAUUUUCCUGGAGAAAUCCACAGUGAAGCGUGAGGAUCUCACAAUGGGCGUGAGAAGUGUGCACCGCAUGUACUCAGUGGCCAUUUCAGCUGAGGGGGAUGCUGAGUGUGCGGAAGAACUACUGCUCUUUUUUUCUUCAUGGUAACAGUCCUUCCUGAAUUACGGAGUGUUUUCAGUCUACUGUUACUUCAUUUUUUCCUUUCUACAUACUUGACUCUGAUCCAUGGUCAGUGAUAAUCUUAGUUGGAAUAGUAAUUCACAGACUAUUUUAAAAAUUGUGUAGAAAAUUCAGCCUGGAUUCCAGGUUUAUGUAUUUGGCACCAUGUACUGUUCCAUUUUAAGUUUUGUAUAUUGUAAGAGAGAGAUACUUUUAUUACAGGCUAAUACUGAAAAUAUUCAAAGUGAUCAAGGUAGGUAUACAUUUUAAACUACUUACCCAAGUGCCUUACUGCUGUUGGUCUUUUAUAGCAAAAGCCUAUUUUAUGUUCAUUUUGGAUUUCUGGAACCCAGCAUUUGAGAAGGAUAAAAAUUCCAUAGCUCUUCCUUGGACCCGUAACAGUAGACGGUUGCUGGACUCCGGAGCCGUCAGCUCCCACAGCUCAGCGUUGGCAUGGCGAGUUGCUGAGUGCUGCCCUGUGUCCAGCAGUGGGGCACUGAGGCAGCCCAUCCUCUGCACCUGAGGCAGGCUUCCCUCUGUGUGGCGCCCCAGGCUGGCUCUCCUUGGCUCUUUCUGAGAGCACCGUUGCCCUGAGAGAAGUCAUAACUGGCCUCCAUUUAUAUAGCCCACAAUCUCGUACAAUAGCUUCAUUGACACUUGAUUUCCGUGGAAAAGCCUCAUGGAUCUUGUGAGUCACAGCUCCGGAGCCAUCAGCCCACCCUCCUCCUCCUAGCCCGCCCUUCUGUGAGUGGCUUUGUGUCCUGCGUUGUACCGAUUGUGCCUUUGGAUGACAAGUUACUUGAGUGAUGAGGGGAGGCAGAGUAAUUUAUUAAAAGUAAUUACAAAGAAACCAAACAAAAGGACUAAUUAUGGUACUGUUAAUACGCAGUUUAUUUUAUUCCAGAACAUUUAGAACUCCUAUCUCAGUCCUGUUUGUUGAGUCUUUUUUCUUAUAAAUCCUUAACAAAAAUAUUAAAUCUUCUGUACCCACAUCUCAAAUUAGAUUAGGCUUCACAAAUCUUGGAAUUUUUUUUCCUAUUUCUUCUUCUUUUCAAAGCCGGACCUAGGAAGAAUUGCUAAUAAGUAUAUUUUGGUAGCCAUAAGAAGAAAGUCUGACCUGUAUAAUUUUAUGCCAUUACAGUUUCAUUCAUUCCAGAGAUUUAUUUUAUAGAAUCUGCAAUUAAAAAAAUGUUUGGAGAAUUCUAAAUGUAGUAAAAUUCCUUCCUAUUUUCAGCUAACAUAAUGGCAAAAAUUAAAGUAUAGUCAUCCACUCACCCUCACAGACUUUAGUCGCAUAUUUUAAAAAGAAUGCUUGAAUGGAACUAUUAAUAUAAUAGUAGCUAACACUUACCAUGUGUCAAGCCUUGUUCCUAGUGCUUUACAUGGAGCAGCUGAUGUAAAUGUACCAUUAAUGUAGUGUCACAGCCAGCAGUGUGACAUUAGGAUGUUGAGAGACUGCAUCAAACACUUCGUGAAAGUGGGUGAGGUCCAUACUAGUCAAGUAAUUGCUGUAGAUGAAAAUGCUUUGGGCAAGAUUUUAAGAUUCUUUUUUGUCAGGUUAUUGACAGUCCUAGACCACCAGCGUUAAGCACACAUUUCUAAGUUAGGAAACUCCCAGCCAGCAUGAAUUUUGAAAACACUUGAAAGCAUGCAGAUAAUUACACUCUUGUUGAUUUUAGUAUAUCGGAUGCCAGCAGCCAUCAACUCUUCUAUGCCAUGAAACAUGAAAGCCAUUUUCAUGAGUUCAGCUGGAAAAAGGAGCCAGAAGAGAAGAACUUCAUGGAUUUUCAGUUAUUCUUGUAGGCCUGUGAGAGAAUACUUGAUUCGGCAGUCAUUCUCAUCCUAGGUGUUUUAAUGAGCUGCUGCUUUGUGCCUGGUCCCCGAGCACUAAUAAGGUACAUUAUUUUUAGUAGCACCUACUAGGAUCAUAGUGAGUUAUGGCCUGCCAUUGUUUACAUUCCUGUUUUGUUGUGAGAGGCCUUAACGAGCAUGGACCUAAGCCCAGGUGAUAUGUGUCUCACUUUUAUAUUUCUGGAUCUCUGCAGAUAUGUAAGAAAAAUGAUACUCAACACUGAAUCCCCAGCAAUUAGAAAAUGACUUCUGGAGGCUGAAGCAGGAAGAUUGCAUGUUUGAGCCCAGCCUGGGCAGUUUACCCACUCAGUGAGCCUGAGUGUCAGAAAUAAAAAAGAGCUGUCAGAGCUCAGUGCAGGGGCCCUAGGUUCUAUUGUAUAGCUAGUUUGGAUAGGGUGGGGUGGGGGAGGAGGUAAAACUUUAUCAGAUAUUCGCUUUGUGAAUUAGAUGAAUGAAUCCCACAAAGAUAUAUUUAUUUUUAUAAACUCAUACUUUAUAUUAUACUAUAUUAUAACUCAUACUUUAUUUUUAUAAACUCAUAUUGGCUAUAGGGGUUUUAUAAUUUUUACUGACAGUAAACUUUUAGUUAUUCAAACGAUGCAAGUUUUUGUUAAAGUGUAUGUGGUUUAAAUUUCCUGGUUUUAUUGUAGAUGAUCUCUUUCAUCCCUCCUAGAAAGAGCUUGGAGACAAGAAGACCAGAUGCUGGUCUUAGCCCUGUCUCUUCCUUGUGGGCCCCUCUGCCCCCAGUGCUGGAGAUGGCACCCGGGCUUCACACAUGUUCAGCAGAUUCUCCACCACAGACCCUGCUCCUUAGUCCUUGACUUUUGUUUUUCUCUGAAGAUCCUUUUAUUUGAUAGACUAGUUGAGCCCGUUUAUAUUAGUUGGUAAAAUCAGUAUGAUUGGCUUUGAUUCCUUAUAUAAUUGAAUUAUUUUUGUCCUGUUUGGUAUAUGGGAGGUCUUCUGUUCUUGUCCUAAUAGUUAUCUUUCCUUAUUAAUAUUAACUUUGUUCUUGUGUAUUGAUUCCUUACUGUGAGCUGUUGAGAAAUUAAAUAGUAUUAUUUGCUACUUCGUUCUUUAGUUCCAACAUUGGCUUACAAUCGUAUCUCUUACUUCUAGAUUAAUACCUGUGAGACAGUGAAUAAGCUGAUUGUAGUUGUGAUGGAGUCUUUCCAUGCUGCUGCCUUUGAUGGGCGUCUGCACUGGAGCCAUGAGACCAGGGAUGGCAGACCUUCCGGAACUUUCAGUGCUAGCGGACAGCCUGCUGCAGCACGCAGGCUAAAGGUUCGCCACCACUGCAUAGACACUGCUGACACUGUGGUGUGUCCUUACAGAACCACAGUUUAAGUCUGCAGGCAAAUCUGCAUUACAGGCUCAUUGUCUGCCUUUAGGUUGGUAUCUCAGCAGUCACUUUGGUUUCUGAAGCUAGUCUUGAGGUAGAUUUCUCAGCAAGAGCUUGGGGCUUCAUGUGUGCUUGUAAGUUUGUUGUUACUGCAGUAAGUCAUUUCGGCUAGCUAUAAAAUCCUUGACUUUGGUUUUACUCCAGUUUUCUAAGUAUGUUACUCUAUUUUUCCCACAGCAUUUGCUGUUCUGCUUUUCCUUGGAGGAGCUUGGUCUUCCAUAUAUGUUCCUUAAAUUUCAGUAACCUUCUUUGAUGUGUCUCAUUGUGAGUCACUUUCUCUUUUGUUACUUGGCAUUUGAGCUUUCCUUUCCUUAUGUGUGAAAUGAGAGUGACUUUUUUGGUAUUUUACAGGAUAGAUUUGGAACCAUAUCAGAUAUUUUAGGUAAAGUAUUUAAAACUUACUACUUUGCUAUCUUUUAAAGUCUUUUGUUGUUAGAACUUAAAAAUGUAGAGGGCUUCAUUUUAUAAGAGGCAAACAGACUUAAGUUGGCCAUGUUUGUGAGACACAGACAGUGGUAUUUAGUGGAAUCUUUUUUUCUGUGUCCCUGAUUCCAUGUGCUAAGCAGGCUCUUGGGCUCACUCAUGCAGGAUGACUGGACUAAAAGCGGUCAUGUUUUUAAAAGUAUCUUCUGUGAAAAACACAUUUCCAUUUUUAUUUUCUUACACUCUUACCCAUCAUGUUAACUCUAGGUUUAUAUGAUCUCAAUAUACAUGCAUAGAAAAAUGCACAGGAGGAAAACUAACGUGCUUUAUGUUUUGGAAAAUGAGGAUUGCUGAAAACCCAAGUCAGCUAAUCCCCAGCAACUUAGAAGCAGCAGGAAAUGCCACGAACACAGAAGAUGUCAUUUCUAGCUAUGGGGAGAUAAGACAUGCAGCAUAUCAAAAGAUAACUUAUAAAGCAGCAUGUGAUAAAAGUCCCAAACCAGUGUAGCAGAAACCGUUGAGAUGAUUCACAUUACCUCAGGCCACCCUGCACUAGUGUGCAGCGCCUUGUUUUGAUAAAGCAAUCUUUUAUACACACAGGCUGGGGGUGAUGGUGGGAAGUGGGGUAAUUGAAUUAACUAUGCCCAUUUGAAUGCUUUUACUUGAUCUGUGAGCUCAGAUAGGAGUUUGACUUAUCUGCAUGUAAAUAGCUUUGAUGCUUUUAUGUGAAUAUAUAGUUUUAAAAAAAUAAAUUUAUCUUUGUUUUGUAGGCUGGUACCCAUCCCAGAAAUUGUGCUGGCACCUAUGAUUUAGGAUGCACUGGAAACUCAGGGCCAGAACUGUGACAUUAUUUGUAAUUCUAUAUGUAACAUGAAUUUUAUCACAUUGUUUGUGUAUUUAGAUAAAUUUAUACAAAAUCCUGAGCAAGGAGGAAAGAACACAUGAAGGAAAAGAAAAUAGUCUUCAGAGAAUUGACAUACACAAAAAACAAGACUAGAAAGCAGAGCUGAGUGAGAUGUGUGCAGGAACAGUGCAGGGUGUGUUCAGGGCCCGUUGGCCUCCAGGAGGGAGGCAGAUUGUCUUCACGGCCCGAAAUCAGACUAGGAAUUCGUAUUUAUCUUCCCUUGAAGGACUGCAGCAAGGUUAGGCCACCAUUAUAUUUGGGGACAUAAAGUUUUCAGCCUGUUUCACUCUUGUGUUACUUUCUCCCUUCUCUUUUCAUCAGUAAGUUUUAUUUCCUCUAAACAUUUGGUUUCAAGUCAAAGUAAAAAAAAAAAAAAAAAAAAGUUUUAGAAUUAGGCAUGGUGAAUUUUUUCAAAAGUUCCAGAGUUCUGCAUUUUCAGUCUCUUGUGAUUUUUGGAUGUUGUGUUGUCAUUCAAAAAAUGUCCCAGAUGUUUUCAGGACCACACCUAUAGCAUGACCUCAGCUUUUCUUUUUAAAGGUGUUUUUUAAAAAAGGCAGUUGCAUACUUCUUUUAUCUUUCUGAAGAUGCAGAACAAAUGGACAUAUCUCCAAGACGUUUAACAUUUAAUGUAUGUUCCUGUAAAUGAAGACAUUUUGGUGUUUGAGAACUACAUAACUGUGAAGGGUCAGGUUUUUAUACGUGUAAACAGAGAAACGAAUGAUUUGUAGUAAUUAAUACCAUGGAAGCCAUGGGAAAUGGGGAAAAGUGGUCAUAGAAUAUGUGCUUCCUUUUCUUACAUCUUCAUAGACAGGGUAGCCUUGCUCACUUUAUGCUGGCGCACGUAACUACAAAUCACAAAACUCCUGCUAUUAAUUUUUGUGGCAAUUUUCUACCCUUAGUUUGGUGUCCAAGAAAAAAAAGUUGUUAUGAAAGGCAUGAGAUGCUAAACAGGAACCCCAGAAAGAAUUUGGAAAAGAAACAGACCUGCUUCUGGAUUCUGUUCAUACACAAUUUGGGCUGUUUUUUCCCCUCCCUGUUACAUAUACACAGACUAGUUUAAGAUGUACCAUAAACAUGUACUCGGGCAGUACAUGUGAGUGCUGGGGCGCCCACUGCUGACAAAAGAUAGUGGUUCUGAAUUUCUCUUAAGUAUCUGAGUAUCUGUAAAGACCACCUGUAUACUACAGUUUGUUGAGUUGUAAGAGACUCAGUUGUACAGCUCCAGUUUUGGGAGGAGUCACACUGGGGGCCGAACCUAGGAUCGCAUGCAUGUGUGUGCUAGGCAAGUACUCUACCACUGAGCAGCACCCCGGCCUCACAACCCAUCGUUAGGAUGCGUCCGUCACCAUCUGUCCUCAGUCCCCCUACUCCUCUCAAACCACUCUCCUGCUUUCUGACUUUAUAGUUUAGGCCUUUUAUAGAAGUUUGAUACAAAUUGAAUCACACACGACUUGGUCUUUUGGAUUUGGUUCUUUCACUUACAGUGUUUCAAGUCUCAGCAAUUUUCAAACAUCCGCAGUUUGGUGUUUUAUAAAAUAGUAUUCCAUUGUACAGAUAUGCUACAUUUUGUUUACUGUUGGUUGGCAGAUGUUAGGUUUUUUUUUUUUUUUUUUUUGCAGCUUUUGAUCGUUGUGCUGUUACGGAUGAUGCUUCUAUGGCCAUCAGUGUAACUUGUGGUGUAGACUUGUUUCAUUUCUCAGGGUGUGCACCUAGGACUGGAAUGGUUUGGCCGUGGGACAGUCCUGUGUUGAACUGUUGAAGAAUGGCUAAGCUGUCCUCCGAGUAGCUGCCCUUCUCACCAGCAUUGUGUAUGGUUUCCAGUUCCUUACGCCUCUUCUUUGGCUCAGUACGGUUAGAUGUACUUGUAUUAGCCAUUCUGGUAAGUGUUCCGCUUCACUUUUUAGGACUUAAUAUUUCUAUUUCCAGAGCUGCACCGAAAGUGUGUAGAUGCCCUAGUUAUGCUUUUGUUCUUCAUUUCACAGGUCGGAAACACUGGCCCUGUAAGUGGGAAGUCUCAGUGUCUCCCCCAAGAACCUAGUGAGUCACUGUGCCCAGAACCCUCCCGCCUCGGUUGGAGUUGUAGCAACCUGCUUGCAUUCUGACUCAGAGCCCUCUGUGUCCUUGUGGCACUGUUAGGUGUGGUUUUAAAAUAUCCACUCUAAUCCUCCCUGGAAUUGAGCCUGGUGAAACGGGGUUCAUUUUCUGCAGAAGUGUGCCUGGGGGCCUCAGGCACAGCCAGCCCCCCAGAGCUGUGUGACCAUGUGUCCUGCCUUGGGAGGGGCAGAGAUGGCCCCGUCCAAGUGGGGGGCAGGUGGGUACCCCCGCCAAGGCAGCUGGUGCUUGCUAAAUACUUUUUUUUUAAUCUUUUCAUUAGUAACGGGGAUCGAACUCAUGACUGCCUGUUUAUGCCGCUGAGCUAAAUCCCCAGCCCCGCUCCCUAAAUACUUGAUACAUUGUAGGGCGCCACCUCUUCAGAAAAGGACGUGCAAGGGUGAUUAUUUGAUGACGUGUGGCAAGUGAUGCCAUGCGUUGGUCUUUAUCUCCUCCAUGACAGACAGGAAAACAUUCUCACAUUUAUUUAUAGACGUAAAAAUCAACCUUGGUUUCUUCCUGUAACUGUUCCUUGGCCAGUAGCAGAUGCGGUAAUUUACAAAUUUGCAUGUCCUGGCUUUAGUCAAGAAAGCAAACAGUGUGUGUCAGAGCUGCUGUAUCAUUUCCUGUGCGUCUCUCUUCACUUUGUCCGUUUUAGGGAUGAAGUGUCACCGUUUUAGAUGAAGUUCUCAAAGUAUUUUCAGGCUAUUGAUAUAAGAUUUGCUUUCUAGCAAAGCACCAUUUUAAAUGGACUUGUAAUCAUUUUUCACACUCAGUGAGUAAUGGUUUCUCUUUGUUUUACGCAAACUGUUUUGCUUUGAAGUUCCUUUUGUAGGACCUUGGAGCUGAUACAGAUACCUGGCUCUUAAUCCUGGGCCCAUCUCUUCCUGUAUCAUCAUUUGUAGUUUCCUGUGUCAGAAAAGAUUUUAGCUGUUUAUUAUCUUUCAUUGCACGAAGUGGCAAUGUUUUUAUUUAAGACAGAAAAUGAAGUCUAGAUGUCUGUGAUUAUUUUUCCUUAAAUUCUUGGUCACUUUGAGUUUCUGUUAGAGAACAUAAUGUUUUAGAGUUGGGGAAAUCUGGUUUUGGCACCAUGCUGCUGUCCAUCAGAGCAUUGAGAAGAACUAAAACAUGAAGGCAACUUCAGGAAAGAAAAUCAUCAACAGCAAGGCUCUGUCUAAAGCAACUGGAAAACUUGUGCAGCAGGCAGUAGGGAGAGCUGUUGGUGGCUGUGUUGAAACAGCUUCCUGAGGUCUUAGGUACAUCUGGCGUCCUGAGCCUUAAGCCAGGGGGAGGAGAGGGGUCCUUACAGGGAAAGGCCAACAGCGAAGCUUCAGGGAAAGGCCACUGCACUGGAGAAGCUGUGGAGGACUGGGGUCGUGAACGUUGGGAAAGCCUUACAAGCAUCUCCAUUUCAAACCCUUAAUUUUGCAAGUGAAAGCACGGAGGUCCUGAGGUUGUGCACAGACCAUGUGCUGGCCCAGGUCCAGAACUGGGUCCCCUGGUCCCUUACUGGUCUUUCUAGCCAUCUACUUGGGCAGCUCCCUAGCAGGGUCUAGAGACAAAGCAACUUUGGGUUUCAGGCGAGGAGACGGGUGAGGCUAGGCUUAUGCUAUGAAUCAUGAACACUGAAGAGUGAAGGAAGAAGUCUGGACAGCUCCAGAUCAUGCCCGUACAGCCACCUCAAGGAGAGGGUCUUGCCAUUGGGCUCGCUUGGGGUAUACUGGGUCAGUUUUUGAAUGUACAGUCAUUGUGGACAGCAAGCCAGGGUUCUGUUGUGACCCAGCUGCCUGCCUUCAUGUAUUGACCUAUUGAACCAGAGCCUUUAUUUAUUUAUUUAUUUUUUGGCACAGGGAAUCGAACUUAGGACCUUGUGCUUGCCAAGCAGAUGCUUUUGCCACUGGGCAAUAUUCCUGACCCUUAAACCAGUGCCUUUAGAAAGCACAGAUUAUCUGAAGGUUUUGUGACACCUGUCGCAGACCAAGCAAUUUCUACCCUUUUUUAUUUUGUUUUUUUUCUUUUGUUUCUUUCUCUUUAAAUAAUAAUAAUAAUAAUAAAAAAAGACCUAAGUGUGGUCCAGAUGCCGAAGUGUUUGAAUGCGAGGCUGCUUUCUAUGUUUUUGCAUGUUCUUUCUUUGAUAUAUUGCAAACUGAGAGUUAAGUGUAAUAUUUUAACAUUCCAUCUGGUUUGCUCACUGGACAAGUCAAACCCCUGUCCCCACAUUUAAUCAGUGCUGAUUAAAUGAAGGCUGCACCUGGGUCCUGAAAACCUUGUUCCAGGACUCUCUUGGGGACUGGCGGACAAGGUGAGGGAGAACAGUGUGGUUUAGGGGAACAGCAGCUGCACUUUCUGUGCAGCACACCCGGCAGAUGCAGGAUAGUUCCUGCAGGGUUACAGGAACAAAAAGGAUAGACCUGAGCUCAUUCAGACUUGGAAGGCCUGCUCUUCCCCUCCCCUCCAGCAGUGCAGAAGGUGCUGAUUUGCCUGCACUUUGGUUCUUCCUUAGAGAUUAAGUCGUUGGCUUAGUAGUGUCACCUAAUCAGAGAGCACCAGGAUACCAUAAGACAGAUCUGAGUGAUGCUGAAAUGUCUUCCAGCAGAGGAUUACUGAGGUCUCAGUGUGAUGUGUACCAGGUGUGUGUGCUUGCGGGCAUGCAGCGCAGAUGUAACACAGUUUCACUGGCUGAGCUUUGGGCGGGGGCCUGCUGUGUGACCACAGUCUCCCGUCUUGGACUGAAUCUAGCGAUGCUAUUUCCAGAGCUGGGACCUUUGGCAUCUGACUCUGACUCAGAGGCUGACCAUGACCUCAGUGCCUAGAGAAUUGCCCCACGUGUCCUGAGCCAUCUUAGGGGAGGUCCCGUGGAAAGAGUGAAGGUGUAGCUCGGCUCCGGAAGAGAAGGCCAAAGAUGAUUCCUUCUUGCCUAGUUUUGCUUAACUUCAAGUAGCUCCCGAUGGAGUUGAUGGCAGUAACAGGAGGGGGGAACUCAGACUUGCUACAGGAUAUCUCACUGUGGGUGUAGAUUUUGAGCAGAUACUCAUAGCUUCUCAGUUGUCCAUUUUUUUUUUUUUUUUUGUAGUAAACCUGCCUUAAGGUCAUAUGCAUUGUUACAGAGAAAGGAGGGGGCCCAUUAUUAAUCUGUGAGGACUAUAGCACCCUCAUUACCUCCUCUAAGGGAGGUGGGUUUCUGGAGUUGGAGCCAUGUCCUUUACGUGAAGAUUAAGAAUAAAGGAAGUAUCUCUGUAAUGGUCUUGGUGGGACUUUCUCCUCUGAAAAAAAUUGGUUACCAGCAUUAUAUUUCCUUAUUUAAAGAUAGUUUAUUAUAGUAUAGUUUAAUAUUGUAUUAGAAAUAAUGUUGAAUUAAAAUGAAGUGGCUAUUUUAAUAAUAAUAGCCCAGUAAAAAACUAUCCAUUUGUGGAGAACAUUUUACUUCCCAACUCUAGUUUUGUUAGCAGGGGUAGCACUCAUCUGCCUGGGUGGACACUGCAUUUUCCUCUUUGCGGAGUAUGUGUGGCUUCCAUUAACUUUUCUCUCCACACAACUCUGAAGGCGGCUGCACCUGACGCUGUAGGUCAUCUGUGCUAUGAGAAUUGAAUUGGAAUCUAAAGUCCUUUCCUCCCUUUCAUAGUCGCACUUGACAUGGACUUCAGAAUCAGACUAACAGCUUUAAAUCCCAUUUUCACCCUUUCCUAGCUUUUUUUUAAGCCUUGGACAGACUCGCCUGUGUGAGCCCCAGUUUCCUCAUCCAGCAAGGAGUUGCCGUGCGCUGCCUAGGUGCUCACGGUGGUUAACAGUUAUCAGUGAUGAGCCUUUGGAAUACCACUUUCAGGUGUUAAAGCCCUGUGUCUCUGCUCUGUAGUGGGAACAGAACCCUGACAACCAAGAGGACAGUGGGGCAUGUGGUCUCAGGAAUAGUGACCCUGAGAAUGUGGGUUUGGAGCAUUGGGGUAGCAUCUGGGGCCGGCUGAAAUGUCCCCAGUGUUGAGGCUCACACCCCAGCCCGUUCAUCCCCCAGGCGCGCCUGGCUCCCAUGCUGACCCAGGAAGCUGAGAGUAGAGGACUGGAUUGGGGCCUACGCCAGUCUGCCUUGGGGUCUGUUGGAAGUUUCCACUGGAUUCCUCCACAGAGGGCUUUAGGUGAAGUCUUUGGAGCUGUGUUACUGAUUUUGGUUGAAGUUACCAAGUUUUGAUUUUCUACAAAUGUAGUACUUGUUGGUGUCCUGAAAGAUACUGAGGGAAUUCCAAGGAGCUUUGAAAAACAAUUGCCGAAAUGUCCAUUUUCCCUGCCCCACAGCUAUAGGCCUGGUUUCCAAUAAUGAUUAUUUUUACAUACAGUCGGCUUGGAACAGUUAAUAAGUUUCCUUAAACGCAGACUUACUAACUGAAACCCACUUAGACUCUGAAGAAAUGGCCCAGCAUGUGUCUCAACUGUGAGUAAUGGGUUAUGCAUCAUUUAAAAAGGCUUCUCAGAAUGGCCUUGGUUAUGUAAUCAAGGAUCGAUAAUUUUUAGAAAGAAGUUUUUAUAGAUAAGCCAUAACAUUACUUGAUAAUCAGACAUCAUUUUCAAGUAGUUAAGAGGGUCAUUGGAUAAAGCCCAGUGGACUGAUGCUGGCUCCCUAAUUGCUAAGGAUUGAAACUCCACAUGCCCUUUAAAUUACGAGCUUGCUUGAAUUUUUUAUGGGGAAAGAAAUUAUUUUUUUAUGUAGGAUAAUUUUCAUGUCAAAUGUUUCCUUAGCCAGCCAGCUCUAUCAGCUGAGGCAGGUUGCUGCUUUUCUUUACCUGAUCCCUGCUUUUCCCCUGUGAAGUUCAUUUUAGAACACGGAGGAAGGGAUGAGAAGAAAACAAUGUGGGAUGGGAACUUGCAGGGUGAAUCAUGAGAAAACACCACUGGUCACGUCCAGCAGUCCUUGGCAUUCUUGGAAUAUUCUGACUCCCGUUGACCAAGGACAGCGGUUCUGCCUAGUGAGGGGUGGUGUGGAGGACUCCGGGCGGUUCUCAGUGGCUUCUCCUGGGUGGUGCUCUUCCUGUCGGUCAGCAAGGAGAGUGACUAAGGAUCUCACAGGCCAAGGGCGGUGCCGCCAGGCCAGUGGCCAGAGCAGUUUCCUGUCUGGUGUUCGUGUGACUCUUUGGACAUUGAGAGGCGGUGACAUUUGUGUCUGCUGGGCCCAGGCACAUGACCCGCCAUGCCAGUGAGGCCCAUCGGCCGCUUGUUUGCCUGAGUGUCUCUGGGUGGAGGGACAUUGCUUUCUUCCAAAAUAGAGGAAAUACUUGGGGGCGGGGAUGGAGGGGGUAAAUAUAGCAGUUCUGGUUUCCUGCUUGUUAUUCUUUUCCAUAAUAUUUCAUUUCUUAUAAGAUGGAAUUUGCCCUGUCAAUUUCAACUAAAAAUAAUCACAUAUUAUGUCUGUCAGAUGGGUCCUCUUAUCAACCAUGUACUUUGGAAUAUGUUGUUUUGCCUAUUCAAAGCCUGAUGUCCCAGCAGUUCUAAGAGGGUCCUAAGACGCUUGCCCUUGGGAGGUUCCUGGCUGGGGCCCUGGCUGUGGUGGUCUGGAAACUCCAGGGACCACCUGGCACGGCUCUGCUCCUCGUCUGGGACACUGUUUCCCCGUGCUCCUCUCCUGUGCCUCUCGAAGCCUGCACCACUGAGCACUGCCAGCCUGCGGCCAUUGCACACUGCUCAGCACAGCUUCCUGUCCACAGCAGCAGGAAGGGUGGCACCGUGACCCUGUCCCAAGGAUGGGGAGGGGCAGGUGUUCUGGAUGUGCAGAGUCGGGUAGGUACAGCAGUGAGCCCAGGAAGGUGCUGGGCAGAACUUAAUUGUCAGGAGGUGGGCGGGGAAGGGAAGAGGGGCUGGCUCCUGCCAGCCUUGCUGAUAUUUUAAUUAUACCUAAUUGUUAAGUUGAUAGUUACUUGGAGCUUGUGCAGUUUGUGCUUGCAGUAUUAGAUUUUAAGUCACAUGAAGUAAAUGCAUGAAUUGCACUAGUCUGUCAUUUCCUAAUUUCUCGGAGUAUCAUUGUCGAUGGGCCAGAUGUCUUCCUUGGCUUUGCCCUUUUGAAAAUCCUGUGUUCACAGUGCGAAGGUCUCAGGCAUCCACGGGCUCCGCCCCUUCCCAGGCCCCCGCAGGGCCCCUGCUGGCCCUGCCCAGCGAUAACAAGGCACCACGUGGUUCCAGUCUAAUAGGGCCCUGACCUGGCUUGAACUCUGUAAUGGGGAAAGAGCAGAUUUAUUUGCUCUCUGCACAUGCCUCCCUCUCCCCCUGUGCUCCCUUAUUAUCUCUAGGAGGAAAGCGAAUGCAGAAUUCUGCGUUCUCAUAAUGCUAAUGGCCUGAUGUCAUCUUUUCCACCCUGAAGUCGGGAAGGUAAGAAGCACAACUGAAACACAGGUUGGACACUUCGCAGCUGCCUGCUGUGUGUUCCCUGCGUGUCUCUGUGUGUUUCCAGCAGCUUUGAGAGUUAAUUUGUAUACCAUAACAAUUCACUAAUUUUUAGUAAACUUGCCAAGGACUGCUCCCAUCGUCCCCAUCCAGUUUGUAUAUUUUCCACCACCCCAGAAGAAUCUCCAGGGCCCACCAACUGACCCUGCCAUUGCUGCCUGGUCCAGCAAUAGGAAACUAGUCAUCUUACUCUCCUAGAUGUGCAUUUUCUGCCCAAGGUGAAGUAGGUGGUUUUGUGUGUUUGCCUUCUUUCACUUAGCAUGUCUUUAAGGCCCAUCUGUGUUGCAGUAUGUGUUGGUAGUUUGUUCCUUUUUAUUCCUGAAUAGUAUUCCAUUGUAUGGCAGAUCCUAGCUGCUGUACGCCAGUUGGGGUUGUUUCCUGCCCGAGGCCAUCAUGAAUAAUACCACUGUGAGACUCUUGCAGGUUUCUGCACAGACAUGUGUUUUCAGUUCUCUCUGGUACAUACCUAGGACUCAUACAGUGGAUUUAACGAUUUAAGAAAUUACCACAUUGUUUUCCAAAGUGGAAAAUAUUACAUUCCCACAAAUGAUAGAUGAGAGUUCCAGUUGCUUUAUAUCUUUGCCAUAGGCUAUAGUUAAGAACUAACCUUAACUGUGCCUCUUGUUUUAUAUUCUUACACACAAAGAAAGCUGGGAGCUAUUUUAAGUUUUUUAUGCUUUACUAAGCAUUGUUAGCAAAAAUCGCCGGUCUCUGUUGCCCUGGCCUGGGUAGUCUCCUCCUCUACCCGCAACGCAAUGUACAGACCUGGAUGUAUUCCUUGUGGACUCGAUGUGAGUUUGUGUGUAUAUGUGAUGCUGUUGUCUAAAUACUAAUUUACAUGGACAAAGGAUUUUUAACUUCUGUUUUUAUUUUUGUUUUUUUUUUUGAUUCAAACCAGUUAUAUUGCUUUAAUAUACAGUAGACACGGUAUCUGUGCAGCCAUGCAAUUUUAGUUUUUUAAAUUAAUAUGUGUUUGUAAAACCUCAUAGUUAAAUUUAUUGCGGGGGGGGGGAUUGGCGCUUAGCAUAUCCUGGCAUUUUCAGUCUCUCUGUACCCUCCUCCCUACCUUUCCCCUGCCCCAUCCCUGUCUCUCUCUCCAUCCCUAAGAGGCUUACCUUUUCUUGUUGUGCCUCUCUCCUUUGUGUUACUCAUUUAUGUUUUUGUUUUCUCCUGUAAGAGAAACCAUGCCUAUUUCGCUUUCUGUAUCUGACUUACUUCACUAACAUCACAGUUUCAAACCCUAUCCAUUUUCCUGACUCUCAAAUGAUUUCUUCUUUCUUCACAGUAUAGUGUUACGUUUAAUGUGCUUUAAAAAGUUUCUAGUUGAUAUAAUUGGGCAACUUUUAAGGGUCCUUUAUUAAAAAUGCAGCUAUCGGUAUGUGUAUGAGUCUGGACUGUUUCCCAAGGCCCCCCGAAGUGAUGCAGGAAGGCUUUGUUGUAUCAGUUAACACAUCUGGGAUUACUGUGCAUCUUCAGGGUCCAAUGGCCAGAGUUGCUCAUUAGGUUUAGUGUGAUUUUCAGGUGUGAGUAGUGGGCGAGCCAAGUGCACCUGUUUUUCUAAGGCGGUCGCAACCGAGCACUCAGAUGAGGCAACCCUUGCAUUGGGAGUCUGGUUCACAGCCAGUCUUUGAGCAGAAGUGUGAGGCUUAGAACCCUGGUUGUGGGCUCCCUGGUCUUUUAAACUUGUACUUAUCCAAAAGUAAGGCGAAUGGUCCUGAGAGGGAGGGCAGGUGAGAGAGGCUGGGGAAAGGCAUUCCAGGUACACACACUGGCGGCAGAAGUAAUUCUUAUGCUCUGUUAGCUGAGUAAACAACUUCCACCGACCUCAACUUACAGUGGUGACCUUGCCCUCCAGAGGCACUUUGUCACAUCACGUGGGGUCAGGUUUUGUCGGGCAAGGGCUGGUUCUCCAGUAUGUCCGUGUCCCUGUCACAGGAGGUGUUCCAGGCUGGGGGCUGGGGAGGCCCAGGAGCACUGUGCCCAUGGGAGGUGUGUCCAGGUGGAAGGUCAUGCAUGGUGUCUGGGCUCAGAGCCCAGCCCUGGUGUAUGUGUGAGUUUAAUACAUCGUGGGGUUCCUGGAAAUGGGACCCCCAGGUAAAUCUGAGAAGGCUGUGUUUUGUUGAAUUUUUCCAAGAGUUGUUUGCCAUUGCAGGAAAGCUGCAGAGCAGUGAGUGAGGUCCAGGUGCCUUCCGCACGUCUCCUGCUAUUUGUGUUCUUAGCGCUGUGUUCCUGGGGAUUCUGCAAGCUCCUGGCUGCCUCAGGGUCACAUCGUAGAGGGUACUCAGCCUUCAGCUUGUCGGCAUGGAACUCCGUAUGAAUGUAUGAUAGCCCACUGUCUUUUAAAUUCUCGUUGUAUUAUAGGUGGGGCUUAGCAUUAAAGUCUCCCAGCCAAUUAUGUGUGUCAUGCACGUCAGUUACCUAUGAAUUGCAGGAUAGUUUUAGGCGCUAUUUCUUAUCCCAUGAGCGAUGUUGGCUUCAGGCUCCCACAGGUUUUCGGUCCAUGCCAUGCUCUUGAGACCCGAAGUGUUGUAUAAGUGGAAAGAGGCAGAGCUGAUGGAGAAUGGCGGGGGAAGGGGGGUACAGCUUCCAGGCAGCUGUGGGGGAUACAACUUCCUGGCACCACCCAUUCACUCCACCUAUAAAUUGACUCUCUGCUGGGCUCCCUACCAUCCCCUAAGACUUGGGCCUCUCCUUGCUGCCGGUACCAGUUCAGCAUCCCCUCCGUCACCGUGCAGUCUCCAUGGGGAACCAGGGUAUCAAGGUGCCAGCCACAGGUUUCUGAGAAAAGCCAUGUUUGGGAGGCAUCGGGCACAGAUGUGGGUGAAAAAUCAGGCUCUGGCUUCACAGGGACUUUGCCAAGCUCCUUCCGGUGUGACACAGAUGCAGACAUGAAGUCAGCUCUCCAGGUUCCACUGUCCUGGCCUUUGCCCUUCUGCUGCAUGUGGGCUGAGGAGCAACUCUGCUGGUCCCACCAGGGUGGCCCUUUCUGAGCCCUCUGCUUUCUCUGCAGGGUGGAGCUGCCCAGAGCCCUGACUCAUAAAUGCCUGUUCUGUUUGUGUGCUGUGUGCCACCUCCCGGCCUCUCAGGUGUCCGCCAGCCAGCCCUCCACCCAGGCCGCCUGGUGCCUUCCAGGCAGCCUUCAUCGCCGGAAGCUGAGAGAUGUCGGGCUUUAUUAGCACUUACCAGUUUCAGCUCUGACGGAGACGGGUCGUGUAAACCUCAGCAGAGUCCCAUGUCCCAUGCAUGGAGAAGACUUACAAAUGCAGGGCAGACAGAGCUCAUGGCCAUAUCGCCCAGGAUUGGGAGGGAGGUUUAUGGAUUCCUCCUCCUCUGACUCUGUGUGGGACCAUCAGUGUAAAAAGGCAGCCACCGUCCUGGGUUUCUUCCUCCUCUCUGAAUGUGAAUCAAGCUGACAUCCAUUACAAGAUCUGAGGGGACUACCAGUCACCCUCACAGUGGGUAUAUUUAGUUUAUAGUCACAGUAUGGAAAUUAUGGAAGAUGAGCCCCUCUGCGGCGAUUAACUGUAGGGCUGUUCCAGUUCUACUUUGAGGGUUACACUGAAAUGGAUACUCCCAACCUAUUUCUAAGAAAUAUGCCGUUACAUAGCUGUCUCCUGCUUUCUGGCUUUUAUUAAAAUGCAAAUAUCCUGAACUUCAAAGUGGCAUAAUUGAAUCCUGAAAGAAGUAUAACUGAUGCUUUCUUUGCCUCUUCUCUGGUAUUCGUAUUUUAUCAUCUGACCUGGCUGAUGAUUCCCUACCUUCUUGCUUUCUAAGUUGAUGAAAACCCCCCCUUGGCUAGGUCGAUCUGGGCGGAAUCUGAAAGUGUGGGGUACCCCCAACAUGGACUCCAGUGAAGUCACCAGCACAAAUGUGUGUGGGUGACGGACACUGGUUAUUUUGGCAGUCGGUAGGUUGCACAGCUUUUACCUGUGUGGACUUAGUGAAAUGAGAUCGGCGGACCUUUCUGUCUUGGCUCUCCAGCCAUCUACUCUUUUUAGUUUGAAGAGCUCCAUGAAACCUACUCUCACAGACAUCUGUAGUGGGACAUCUGUUGGCUGGGUGCUUCCCGUGUAUGCAGGAUGUCAGGACAUGGCACCGUCUAGGUCUCCCUUUCAACGUGAGAAGACAUUGAGUCCCUUGCAGUGUUUUACAGAAACUGGUACCUGAUGGCAGCAGCAUAGCAUAGGGGCCCAACACAGGGUAGAUGCCCUGAUAGGGGCCAGCAGGGGAGCAGGAGGUCACCCUGCUCUCUUGGAGGAGGAAGGGGCUGUGGGGUCUCCCUCGGAAGGAGUCGGUGCUGCUGGAGCUCACCUGUGUACCUCAGAGCCGUUUGAGCCCAGCCUCCAGAGUGGGGAGGAUUAAACCGUAAGCUUCCUGAACUGUAGCUGGAUUAUGUCAUUCUGUGUUCCCUUUUGAAGGAAACGUAUCCCAGUUCAAACAAGCAAGCACGCUUUGCUCCCUCAUCUCUUGCCUGGUCCCAGAUAUCUGGGGGAUUAUCCUGUUUGUGGAUCGUGCGCCACAACUGAGGGGCUUUGAUCUUCCAGAGCCCCCACCCUUGCUUUUGAUUACAUGUGUUUCUGCUAAAGAUGUCUUUUUCUAGUGCUUACAGGGGGCAUGAAUACGUGGCUCAGUCCCCUGUAGCUUUUGUACUUUGUGGUUUCUCUCAUCCUGUUACAUUAACCAUAACAUGGAAAGGGCCAUGAUCACAAGGCACAUGUCCCAGGGACGCCAACCAACUUCAGGCCCCAGGAACUCCCCAGUGGGACUUGCAUGGGCCUCAAAACACGCUUCACCCUGUUCAUCCCAGAAAGCUCCACUGCUCUUGGACAGCUUGGGCUGGCUGCUUCUAGUUUUUGUUUGGGGGACCCGUCCCCAGCUAUAGGUGCGCUCCUGGGGUGCUGGGGCCAAGAAGGCAUUCCAUAGGGGCUGGGGUACCCUUAGGAGCCAGGCAGACAGGGAGCCCUUUCACAGCCCAUCAGAAAAUUGUCCUUAAGACCAGAGUGGUGCUUGCACCUCUCGGGGAAGGGAUACAGGUUCUGCAGCACCAAUUUUAAAGCUUCUCUCUCCAUUAGGUAAAUCGAGCCAUCAGGAGGUGUUACUAAAAUGGAAGCCUCAGGGUGAAACCAAGAGAAAGUGUCCUCUGCAGAGGGCCAGGGGAGGGCAGUAGUUAGUGCACCCUUGCCUGGGAUGCUCAUGGGAUGAGCCGGAGACUUGUCACCCGCAGAGCUGGUGCCCUUGCAGCUUGCAUUGUGCUUGGGAGUCCCCUCCUAGCACUCUGUCAUUCUAACCUAUUUCAACUGCAGCAGAGACAAGUUUAUAACUCGUGAAUGCUGGGAGAGACUCAGGAAUAACAAGGUGGCUCUGACAUAAGCAGGUGCUGUGCAUAUAUGACUGAAUGAAGUCGAGCUGGAGUGAUUUCUGUCAUUCCCUCCUCUGUCCUCUGUGGCUGCCUUUAUAGGACAUGCUGCCCUGAAAUGUACCCAGAGGUCUUCUGUGAAGGUAGGGGGGUAGCCACGAGUAUGCAGAGUGGGAAGAACAGGGAUUUCCCUAAGACUGUGCCACGUCCCGGAGCAUGAGAGUUCAUGUUACAGCAGCUCUUUUAGGGUGCCCACGUACCGUCCUGAGAGAUUUCACUUGGAAACAGUGCAGUUGGAGGCACACCUGACACAGCUGGGGAAGGUUCCUGCAACUUUAGCCAACACAGAUGCUAAGAAUAGUGUUGCUUCAGUGUGCUGCUAAUCUCAGAGGCAGCUCUUUACCACGAGGUCAUGGAGCAGUCUGCAGGCUCCAGAAUCGGGGGUGAGGCUGGGGUGGCCUUGUGUCAUCUCUCCUGCCUUUUCCUUUUUCUUGUCUUUCUGUCUCUGUCUCUCUCUCUCUCUCUUGCUUUUGGUCUAUGUAAUAGUGAAGAUCAGACCCAGGUAGUUCAUCUCUAGCCCAUUUUUCAUUUUUUAAAUUUGGAGACAGCGUGAGGCUUUCUUGCCCUGGGCUGAAACUUGGAAUCCUCCUGCCUGAGCUUCCAGCGCGCCGUGCUUGCCUCUCCUUUUGAUUCCUCUGUUCCCUUCACCACCUGUCCACUCAGGAGCCUCAUGUCCUCCAAGUACCAAGCAUCUCUGUUGUUCUCGUUACCUCCCCUACUUGACCAGGUGACUUCUUUUACCAGCAAAACCAGUUCACCCAAUUUCUUUCUCUGUCAUAUUUCUCUACCUUUGUUUGAAAGACGAUUAAAAAAACCAGCCAAACAAACAAACAAACCCAGAAUUGGAAGGCAUGUACAUUUGUGGUCCUGCUUAUCAGUCAUAAGCAUGUUCUUAUGCUUAUGAAGUCAUGAUUCUUCUUCAUGUUAACUUAGAUUACUGAAGGUACAAUUCUAGAAUUAAAGUUUUCCUUUAAUUAAAGAUGAAAUGUUAGAUCAAUUAUUUGAUGCUAUAUUUAACAAUAGAUUUAUCCCAUUUAAUAUACCUUUUGCCAGAUAGGUCAUGUAAGAAGUUUUUGGUAUUUAGAAAUAGGAACUUUAAAUCCAAUCUUCACAAUACAGGCUUUUUGGUAUUUAUUUUGUGACAUUAUGGACUUGGGGUGGAGUAUGAAAUAACAUAAUAAGUCUAUGUAUGAAAAAUCGCAGAAAUCAUAUUGCAUAUUCAGAAGCUAAAUGCUCCAAAUUCAUUUAAAUUUGGUGGAUGGAAAAUGGAAUUCACAAUAUCAAAUUACAUUGCUUGCUUAACUCGCUGGCAAUUUAAAAAAUUUUGCAUGCUGUUCUCCGUCCCUGCUUUGCUGUCAGCUCUUAGGACCCCAUGAAAGAUGGGAGAGCUGUGCUCUAGGUGGCAUGUCAAAGAUGUGUCCCUGCUCUGACUCUGGUUAGCAGUUUGAUUUUCAAGGGACUUUUCAGUUAUGAGGGAAACUUGCUAUUUCCUGGCAGAGCCACAGUGCAGUGGUGAGUUCCUCAGUGUAUUUUCAUCAUACUUUUGAACAAGUGUCUUGGGAAAGGAGCUCCCUGACCAGGGACAGUGGAUCCAGAUGCCACCCCCUCCCAUUUCUCCUUUCUUUUGCACUAAAAGUUGAAGAGGUGGGUGAGCACCAGGGUGUGAAAGGACGCACCAAGCUGGCAGAGUUUUGAUAUAGGCCAGAUAGAGAAUUGGGAGGCCAUGCUCCUUAUAAUUUGAGAAUUAUAAGCAAGGCAGACAUCUACGAGCGCCGAGGUUGAAAUAGUUUGAAAGUAAAGGUGAGAGAGUCUUGAAACUCUACUUGGGUAGUGAUCAUUUUCCUGAACUCUCACAUUGUGGCCUUCGAGGACUCAUUUGGCUUUGUGGUCUUUAUGUGGGUUAAAGGCAACUGUUUGCAAGCAGUAAAUUUCCAUGUAUUUCAAAUGGGGAGAAUUGGAACAGUUAUGCUUUUAGCUCUCUUCAGCUGACAGUCUCAGAUGUGACAUGAGUCAUACCAAGAGAAAGCAGAUACUGUUUGGUAAUGUAAUAUAGAUCUCAGGAAGAGGAGCUUUGGGAAGAGGCCUAUCCCUGAUGCUUAAGGACUGGACUGAUUCAUAGGUUUUUGAAUUUGUGACGAGCAGAGAACGGUGGGAAGAUACCCUGUACACCCAGUACCUUGUUUAACAGUUUGGAAGAAGGACACUUUUUACACUGAUUACAGCACUUUCCUCCUGAGACCAGGUCUAAUUAUUAGUGUGUUUGAAACAUCCAGUCCAGUUACACAUACUGUAGGAGCCACGAGAGCUAAGAGAUUGACUCAAGGUCAUGAUCAGUUGGAACAUCUUGAAGAUCUAAAGCCUGGGUAUCUAAGGUGGUAGUAAAUUAUUGAAGGAAUUUUUUUGGUAAUCACGCUUUGCUGUUUUUAAAAUAAAUUCCUUCGACACCAGGUUCAAAUGAUGUUUUUAGACAGUUUGUUCCCCGCAGCCCAGCUUGCUCGUUAGUAGAGAAGCAGGCACCCUUUCCAGCUGUAACCAUUCAUUUCUCCCAGACUUGAAUUCCGCCAUGUGCUUUCUGACACCCACCUGUAGAAUGGCUCUGAGGGUGGCGGCUGCAGACUCCGAGGAGAGGCUGUGUGAUAAGGGUCAACACUGAACCUUCUGGAACGUAAAGGAUUUAUGAAUAUUUGUGUUUUAAAUCUCCCCAGAUUUUUGCUGUUUGGUGAUUAAGAUGAUUUAUUAAAGCGUUGUUGGUGGUUGAGGGUUCCUUUAGGAGGCCACAGUUCUAUAUGUGAUCACAUUUUCUUUGAACCUGAGACUCAGGUUGAGGAUAGGUACUUUUUAAAAAAAUAAUAAAUUUUACUACUGAUUCUCAGGACAGUUUAAAAAUGUAAUUAUUUGAAAAGGUGAAAAUAGAAUCUUGUGAUUUUUUUUUUUUUUUUGAAGUCAUUGUUCAGGAAGACAGAAUUUAUCUGGUAUCCUUCUUGCUUUUAAUCUUUGCCUAUGGGGAAAAAUAUCUUAGGCUUUAUGUAAAUUCCUAAGUGUAGCUACCCCUAACAUGACCAAAGUCAUAGUAAGAUGUGAGGGGACAUAUUUCCAUCUCUUUAAAGGUGUUUAUAAUCUUUGAAAAAAAUGUUUGCCAUAAAGUGAAAUACGUAUUUACUUGCCCUUAACAAAGCAAAAGUGUGGCAUUUCAUUCCUUUGAGCAAAUGUCAGAAUGGUUAGGUUUUGUUUUUUUUGGUUUCUUACUAUGUGGAGAAAACUAAUGUCUGUUUCAAGUGUGCCUGGGCUGGGCACAGCUGAGAGAGGGAGGGAGAGCUGUCCCAGGAGUGUUGGGACUUAAGGAGUAUUGUCCCCCUGGGGAUGGUGGGGUUCUGGGCCCUUUGAUCCCGUGAGGCUUUCAGCUCUUCUUCCUAGCUGGGGCCUGUGUCACCUCUUGGUGCUCCUUUGAGGUGUGCUUGCUUGGAUCUGGCACCAAGUCUUUAAACUUUCACCCGAAGCAGGUAAGUUGCUAUUGAAUGUAAACAUAGGAUGUGUGUGAGGUCCUUCUUUAGCUUGGAAAUUGUAGACAACACCAUCAAGGGUUUUGCAGUACUUUUCUAAAACGCCCCAAGAGCUGUGCUGUUAGUUUGAAUAGCUUUUUUAUAAAGUUUCAGGAGUAAUUUUUUUUGGCUCAUCUUUUAAACUUUACUGUGAUCUUAAAAGUAAUGGUAAGGAUUUUACCAGCUUCUAAAUACUGAAUUUUAAAGUCUUUUAAAAGUCAUCCUUGGGGCUGGGGAUUUAGCUCAGCGGCAUAAGCGCCUGCCUUGCAAGCAGGCAGUCGUGAGUUCGAUCCCUGGUACUGAUAAAAAUGAAAAAAGACCAAAAAAAAAAAAAAGUCAUCCUUUAUUUCAACAAGAAGGGUGAUUAGAAUUCACUGACAGAAAAUGAUAGGCUGUACCAAUAACCAUGGAAAGUAUUUUUGUCCGUGGCAUAUAGAAGUGAAAAGUACUGGCACAUUCAGUCAUGGAGCAUGUGCAGGCUUUUAUCACUUGUGAGUAGGGUGAACAAGCACAGUGCAGCAGGCACUGAUGUUGAGUAAGGUCGGGUUGCCAGCAAAUUUAACUUGAAUUUUCUCUCUGGGAUGUUAGUAUUUCUUUUUUACUCCUAACUUUGUAAUGAAAAAUAGCCUUUGGGCAGCACUUCUAGGAGGCUGGUGAAAGACUGGGAAGAGGGUAUUUCAGGAGUUGACAUUGCCCUGUCUUUUUUAGCUCCUUGGAGACCUCUGUGGUCUUGACAAAGUGCAAGAGCUUUGGUGGCGAUUUCUUUCAGUAAUGGGCCCCAUUACCCAUUGGAGCGAUGCUACACCUUCUUAAGGGUUUGCCUGGUGUCACUUCCUGAUUUGCACUCACCUUAGCCAGCUUUCCUUAGCCCCAGUUCCCCCAGGGACAAGCUGUGACUCUGAGUGUGAUGACGUGGUGUGGACUCUGUGCACCUCCGAUGUGUUCGGGAUGCUCAGAACUUAGAUGAAAGUGGCUCGGUGUGGGAAAGGCUUCUAUGUAAGAAGCCUUCUGUGUGGCUGACUGUCCGUGUGUGUUGGAUGCAGGCCGUUUCUCUGCCACUGUGGUCUAUGCCUCCCACAUUAAAAGUUAUGCAUAAUAUCCUGAAGAAACAUAUUUCCUGAGGAGGAGUAAGUGCAUUCAAGAAGGAUGGAAAAAACCACUCAUUUCUUUCCAGUUAUACCAAGAGGGAUGGUACAGCUGAAGCGAACUCUCUGGAAAACCAGAUACCAUCAACUCAGUGAUGAAGUGGAUAGGAAUGAGCCCAGCCCAGGCAGUGGUGGAGGAACACGCUGCUUUCUAGCAGUUGUAAUUGAGCCUGCAUGGGGCUGGGAUUUCAGAGCUUUAGUUUCUAGGCAACUGUAAAUACACACACACACAUGCACACAAACUGAAUAAAAUGAUAAAAAGCUGUCUUACUCUUCUCAUUGUUGAGACAAAAUAUCUGGCACCCAAAGUUCAAGGAGAAAAGGUUUAUUUAGCUUACCAUUUAUAGAGGUUUUAGUCCGUAAUUGGCUGAUUUCAAGGUAGGGUAGCUUGGCAGAGGGGUGUUCCAGGGGAGAAGAGUUCAUGGCACCCACAAGAUAGCAAAAGCAACAAGCGAAGAGACCAGACUCUUGCUGUUCCUUAUCAUGUAUGCAGGCUGUGCACCCUAGAGUUGCUGCAGCACUCACACCUUUAAUCCAAGCCAGAACUAUGCCAGACCUACCAGUGGACUGAAUUACUGAUCCCAGCAUCACACACUGGAGAGUCAGUCACCUCUAAAAAAACCCUAUGACCACAUGAGGCUUUUGGGGGGCGGCAUGGGACAAAAGUAAUGACAGAAUCUGUAGCUACAACCCUUCGUCACCAGAGCUGUUGAUCCAGACUGUGGCUGGCUGUGUGGAGGUUCUGGUGUUAGACCUAGGAAAUGACGGCAGAGCCUGUUGCUGCAGAAUGACUGGCGCUUCUGCAGCGGAAGGGCACUGCGCAUGUUUUCCUCUAAGAUCUGCAAGAGAGGGGAUGCCCUCGAGGGAGCGGGCUUUAUUGUUAAAGGAAGUUUCUUCCUGUUCUUUUGAUGAGUGCUACAUUAAUAAAGGAUUUUAAAAAUUAUACAUCUUGUAAUUACCAGCAGCAAGCCCAGGCUGUGAAGAAUACCAUGUGCUUUCCCGAACACCGGGCUUCCCGAAUAUCAGCCUUCUCAUCUUUUGCUGUAGAAGCUCUCAGGACUCAUUGCUUCUCAAGUCCAGGUUAUUUCCUGGUGCACAAGUCCCAUCCAGAGGGUGCCUGUCAGCGCUUUGGCUGCCACUGGGAAUGCCAGGAGCAGUUCCUGGGAGUGGUUUAAUAUCUCUUUUUUAUUGUUGUUGUUGUCUUUUUCCUUUUUAUCGGUACUCAUGACUGCCUGCUUGCAAGGCAGGCGCUUAUGCCGCUGAGCUUAAAAUCCCCAGCCCCCUGGCUUAGUAUCUCUUGAAGAUCUGCAGACGACCUUGUGAGCGUAUGGAUGGAGGAGGGCUUACUGGGACCGCUAGUGAAUCUGGCAGUUUGAAUGACGAUGUUAGACCAGGCACUGUUUAGAUGCAUGCGGAGGACUGAUGAUCUCUAAGUUUGAAAGAAACUUAGGGUCCCCUGAACAAACAAAAGUCACAGGAGCAUGCCUGUAAUGUGUGCAAUGCCUUGGAAUAUUCUCAUACAGUAGUCCAGGUGGGGUGGCACACACCUGCAGUCCCAGUUACUCAAGAGGAGGGGGCGUGAUGAUUGCAAGUUCAAGGCCAGCAUGGGCAACUUAGUCCCCUCAGUGUGGGAAAGGCUUCUGGGUAAGAAGCCUUCCGUGUGGCUAACUGUUCAUCUGUGUUGGAUACAGGCAGUUUCUCUGCCACAACAAAAUAAAAAGUCUAGAGCUGUAGCUCUCUGGGUUCAAUCCCUAGCACCUCCUCAAACACAAAAAUAGUGUAAUGGCAAGAAGUGUUAGGAUCAACUGGGUCCCUUUAUAUGCAGCUGGAGCCUGCAUCCUGAAUAGGCAGAUCAAUCAAAACAUACCCAAAUAAAAGUGGUGUUGUAGGAGUGAAAAGUAAGACCUGUGAGAGCUGUUUCUCAAGAAUUCAAUAUGUUUAGUCUAGAACAACAGUGUCCAGAGAGUCUACUAAUUUGCUGACCCAGCAGGAGGAGCUGGCAGUGGCUUCUCACUUCCAUGGUCCCAGAUUAGUCAUUGAAGGUCAUUUAGCUUUCUAAACUCUCCUGGCAAGGCAGUCAGACAAUUAUGCCUGCGUCCAAAGGAGGUACUCACAAAUCUUCUGGCAUAAAAAUUUGGGAACUUAAGUUGCACCGGCAGAUUUAAGAAUGAUUGUUUGCAAAUAACAUAUCAGUGUGGUAGUUGCUCCCUUAGCUAAGGCUUCACUCCCCUGUUUCAGUCACCAGCAUACAGCUGCAGUCCAAAAAUAUUCAAUGGAACAUUUCAGAAAUAAUUUGUAGCUUUUAAAUUACGUGCCUUUCUAAGUAUCAUGAAGAAAGUGCUCACAUUGUCCCUUUUUUGUCCAUAGAAUCCAUAUUGGGUGUUCUGUUCAUCCAGUCCCUUCGAGACCCUUGUGGUGUCAUGGUGCUGCUCAGCUCCAGGCAGCCACCAGAGGCCCUGGGUGCAUCCCUACCUUAAGGGCUGCUGCUGUCGUGAAUCUUCUGUGUUACCAGCUGAGUGAUAAAUUCAUGUGUUUUUAUGUGUCUGUCUUCACUAAAAGCUAGACCAGAAUUUCGAGCAAGCUCUGCCCUACAUUUAAAUGCAACAUUUUUAUUAAUAUUUUUCUUAAAAGCUUUAGGGCUGGCUGUAUUAACAGACACAUUUUACAAGUUUGUUUAAUCCCCGCUGUGGGCAUCAUGUUUGUUUAUUCAGCCGUUCAUCUACUUUUUGUAUUAAUUUUAACAGAUCUUUAAAAUAACUAUUGAUGUUAUAUAUUGUCAAGGACAGUGAGUUGUGAUGACAGGCUAGGAUUACUGACUUUCUAAAAAAUUCUUUAGAGUUUGUGAAAACAGUUUUCCGGAUGUUAAAAGUUUUAUAGUUACUGCAUGAUUGACAUAUUUCCUUUC